UUAAAUGAAGCAUUUGAAAAAUGCAUUUAACUGUUAAUUAAAAGAAAGCUCCUUUCAGCCAUUUAAA
rnacentral:tRNA from 1 species